GAUGAAGAACGUAGCGAAAUGCGAUAAGUAAUGUGAAUUGCAGAAUUCAGUGAAUCAUCGAAUCUUUGAACGCACCUUGCGCCCUUUGGCUAUUCCGAAGGGCAUGCCUGUUUGAGUAUCAUGAACACCUCAACUCUCAUGGUUCGCCAUGAUGAGCUUGGACUCUGGGGGUCUUGCUGGCCUAUGGUCAGCUCCUCUCAAAUAAAUCAGCUCGCCAGUGUUUGGUGGCAUCACAGGUGUGAUAACUAUCUACGCUUGUGGUUUUCCAUCAGGUAACCUUCAGUGAUGGAGGUUCGCUGGAGCUCAUAAAUGUCCCUCCUCAGCGAGGACAGCUUUUUGAACGUUUGAUCUCAAAUCAGGUAGGACUACCCGCUGAACUUAAGCAUAUCAAUAAGCGGAGGA
rnacentral:misc_RNA from 1 species